GACGAACGCUGGCGGCGUGCUUAACACAUGCAAGUCGAACGGAAAGGCCUGCUUUGCCUUGUGGAUUGCGGGUACUCGAGUGGCGAACGGGUGAGUAACACGUGAGUGAUCUGCCCCCAACUUGGGUAUAAGCCUGGGAAACUGGGUCUAAUUCCCGAUAGGACUGCAGGGUGGUGCCUGUGGUGGAAAACGAUUUUCUAGUGGUUGGGGAUGAGCUCGCGGCCUAUCAGCUUGUUGGUGGGGUAAUGGCCUACCAAGGCGGCAACGGGUAGCCGGCCUGGGAGGGUGGACGGCCACAUUGGGACUGAGAUACGGCCCAGACUCCUACGGGAGGCAGCAGUGGGGAAUAUUGCACAAUGGGCGGAAGCCUGAUGCAGCGACGCCGCGUGGGGGAUGACGGCCUUCGGGUUGUAAACUCCUUUCGACCGCGAGGAAGCCACCUGGUUGGAAGGGUGGUGACGGUAGUGGUAGAAGAAGCACCGGCUAACUACGUG
rnacentral:rRNA from 1 species